ACAGGAGGCCGAGAGUCAGCCCCAGCAGCAUGGCCUCUGGAUGGUGAGUCCCAAGGCUCCUGGAGGGAAGAGGACAGGCCCCUGCCUCUGAGGGGGGCCCCCGUCGGACCUCGCCAGGCCCCAUCGUGGGAGGGGAGCACCAUCAUACCUGACCUAGGCUGUACGCCCAGUGUGGAGCGAGCUCGAAGCUGGAACCCACGACCCUGAGAUCAAGACCUGAGCUGAGAUCCAGUCAGACGCUUAGCUGAUGGAGCCGCGCAGGUGCCCCAGACGUUGGUCAACAACCCAGAUGUCCAACAUGAAGAAAUUAGUUCAAAGUUCGGUUCUGAAAUGGGACAUCGACACCGUAUUUCUGCCGUUUUGGCAUCUCUUAUUUAUUCUUUCUUGUGUCCGCUGCCUCAUCUGGCCUCGUCCUCGGGCGCCACUUCUAGGAACUGCUUCUUCCGAUUCCUCCCAGGAAUUUCAGGUUUCAGGCCCCCAGUGAUGACGCCGGUCCCACCGGGGCAAUCCAAGACAUCUCCCCAUGUCACACCGCUGGCUCAGCCAA